GCCCCAGUAGCUCAGACCGGUCAGAGCGACUAAAUAAUGAGUAGUAGGCCCUGGGUUCAAAUCCCAGCUGGGGCU
rnacentral:tRNA from 2 species